GUCCGCGUUAUUUGUUACAACCUUGUUGGGACUAGGCUGGAUUGUUGGGUUCUUUCUCCUGGUAGACAGUACGGACAGUGAUUUGUCAAAAAUCAUCAGAUGGACUUUCAUAUUAGUGAACACCCCACAGGGUGUUUUCAUAUUCAUAUUUCACGUUCUGCUAAAGGAGGAUGUACAAACGUUCUGGGUGCAUGUUUACAAAUUGGUGGUUCGAGAGAGCAUAGCGUGGAGUUUUGACCGGUUACAAUCAGAUGAGAGAGACAAUAAGAAUCAACCAGCAGAUGAGACUGAGCAAACAGCAGAAAACGAAUGUUAAUAAAUGUGCAAAAGGUGAAUCAGCAUGAAAUGAAAUG